rnacentral:tRNA from 1 species
GUCUUUUGAGUAUGAAAUUAGUACACUUGCCUUCCAAGCAAGAAGUUUAAAUAGAACUUUAAAAAAGAUA